rnacentral:rRNA from 1 species
CCUACGGGAGGCAGCAGUGGGGAAUAUUGCACAAUGGGGGAAACCCUGAUGCAGCGACGCCGCGUGAGUGAAGAAGUAUUUCGGUAUGUAAAGCUCUAUCAGCAGGGAAGAAGAAAGACGGUACCUGACUAAGAAGCCCCGGCUAACUACGUGCCAGCAGCCGCGGUAAUACGUAGGGGGCAAGCGUUAUCCGGAUUUACUGGGUGUAAGGGGAGCGUAGACGGCUGUGCAAGUCUGAGGUGAAAGCCCAGGGCUCAACCCUGGGACUGCUUUUGAAACUGUGGAGCUAGAGUGCUGGAGGGGUAAGUGGAAUUCCUGGUGUAGCGGUGAAAUGCGUAGAUAUUAGGAGGAACACCAGUGGCGAAGGCGGCUUACUGGACAGUAACUGACGUUGAGGCUCGAAAGCGUGGGGAGCAAACAGGAUUAGAUACCCGAGUAGUC